rnacentral:rRNA from 1 species
UACGUAGGGGGCAAGCGUUGUCCGGAAUCAUUGGGCGUAAAGAGCGUGUAGGCGGCCAGAUAAGUCCGCUGUGAAAUCUCGAGGCUCAACUUCGAGCUGUCGGUGGAAACUGUCUGGCUAGAGUCCGGAAGAGGAAAGUGGAAUUCCUGGUGUAGCGGUGAAAUGCGCAGAUAUCAGGAAGAACACCCGUGGCGAAGGCGGCUUUCUGGGACGGUACUGACGCUGAGACGCGAAAGCGUGGGGAGCGAACAGG